UACAGAGGUCCCAAGCGUUGUUCGGAUUCAUUGGGCGUAAAGGGUGCGUAGGCGGCGCGGUAAGUCGGGUAUGAAAUCUCGGAGCUUAACUCCGAAACUGCAUUCGAUACUGCCGUGCUUGAGGACUGGAGAGGAGACUGGAAUUUACGGUGUAGCGGUGAAAUGCGUAGAUAUCGUAAGGAAGACCAGUGGCGAAGGCGGGCCUCUGGACAGUUCCUGACGCUGAGGUGCGAAAGCGUGGGGAGCAAACAGG
rnacentral:rRNA from 1 species